GAUGAACGCUGGCGGCGUGCCUAACACAUGCAAGUCGAGCGAUUCUCUUCGGAGAAGAGCGGCGGACGGGUGAGUAACGCGUGGGUAACCUGCCCUGUACACACGGAUAACAUACCGAAAGGUAUGCUAAUACGAGAUAAUAUGCUAUUAUCGCAUGGUAGAAGUAUCAAAGCUUUUGCGGUACAGGAUGGACCCGCGUCUGAUUAGCUAGUUGGUAAGGUAACGGCUUACCAAGGCGACGAUCAGUAGCCGACCUGAGAGGGUGAUCGGCCCCAUUGGAACUGAGACACGAUCCAAACUCCUACGGGAGGCAGCAGUGGGGAAUAUUGCACAAUGGGCGAAAGCCUGAUGCAGCAACGCCGCGUGAGCGAUGAAGGCCUUCGGGUCGUAAAGCUCUGUCCUCAAGUAAGAUAAUGACGGUACUUGAGGAGGAAGCCCCGGCUAACUACGUGCCAGCAGCCGCAGUAA
rnacentral:rRNA from 1 species